GCCAGUUGACGGUGUGCGACCACGUGGUAGUCGGAGGUGAGGUGGCCAUUCCUAACGCCGCAAUUCAAUAGUGCCUUCACUGCAUCUAUCAUUGAGCGUUUCACCUGAUCAUCUGGAAUAACAUGAAUAUAUUUAUGUAACAACAUGUUGCUAAGGACGAUAUUUAAAAGUAAAGCAACUUCUACGUUUGACAAGCGAUCCAGAACAAAAAAAAAUCAAUGAGAUAUCAAAAACUGUUUGCCGUAUGGUCACCCCUUCUUUAGAUGCCUUCCUUGUUGUAAUAGACGACUACGUGAACUUAAUGGUCGAGAAAUGGACAGCAACAUUCCUUUUAAAACAUCACCAAAACUUAACUGCGGUUAAAUUUUGGUGAUGUUUUUAAAUACACAUAAUGUUAAUAGAGAUUUAAAAGAGUGACUUGAGUUCUUUUUUGCGAGUUCUUCUCAACAAAUAAAAAGUUUCUAAACCCUGCAUUCAUAAAAAAAAAAUACAAUUUAAAAAUGCUUGUAAACAAGUCUAUUUGAAUAAAGAUAUUUUGUAUUUCUUA